UACUAGCACAUAUGUCAAAUUCCUAAUUAACGUUUUAUUUUUAUAUCCAUCGUUUCUUAGAGCCGUAAUUGUGCUGAUAUCAUAUCCAGGGAAGAACCUACCAAUAAAAGUUGCCAAGUGCAAUGACGCUCGCGGCGUCUCCUAGGCCAUGGGCGUGUUCGGAAACUACUCCCACAUAC
rnacentral:snoRNA from 1 species